rnacentral:rRNA from 1 species
GAUGAACGCUGGCGGCGUGCCUAAUACAUGCAAGUCGAGCGAACAGAUGAGGAGCUUGCUCCUCUUACGUUAGCGGCGGACGGGUGAGUAACACGUGGAUAACCUACCUAUAAGACUGGGAUAACUUCGGGAAACCGGAGCUAAUACCGGAUAAUAUAUUGAACCGCAUGGUUCAAUAGUGAAAGACGGUUUUGCUGUCACUUAUAGAUGGAUCCGCGCCGCAUUAGCUAGUUGGUAAGGUAACGGCUUACCAAGGCAACGAUGCGUAACCGACCUGAGAGGGGGGUCGGCCCACCCGGAAAUGAAGACCGGUCCAGGACCCGACGGGAGGCAGGAGGAGGGAAUUUUCCGGAAUGGGGGAAAGCCUGAAGGAGCAACCCCGGGGGAAUGAAGAAGGUCUGCGGAUCGUAAAACGUUUUUAUUAGGGAAAAACAAAUUGGGAAGUAAACAUGCCCGUUUUGACGGUACCUAAGCAGAAAGCCCCGGCUAACUGCGG